AUGCGUGCAGUGGCGGGGAGGGCACUACCCCGCCCAGGCCGGCCGAACACUUCCAGAAGGCGCACCACUCUGCAGACCCUAACACGGCCCAUGGUGGUGGGGGGUGGGGGGUGGGGGGAGAGGGCAGUGCCCCGCCCGGGCCCGCCGCACACUUCCAGAAGGCGCACGUCUGUGGGUUACACCGUACGUGCCGCUCUGCAGACCCUAACACGGCCCACGGUGGGUGGGGGCCAGAGGGCAGUGCCCCACCCGGGCCCGCCGCACACUUCCUUAAGGCGCACGUCUGUGCUACCCGGCGCGUGCCGCUCUGCGGACCCUAACACGGCCCGUGGUGGGGGGCGGGGGCGGGGGAUGGGGGGUGGGGGAGCGCGCCCAGCCCUCCACGGGAGGCCCGGGGAGGGCGAGGCGGGCCCCGGUGAUGGGCAGGCGCUCGCCCGGAGCCCCGGAUGGGCGCCCCUCCCGGCUAAGCGGGGGCGCGGGGGUCCCGGGAAGGCUGGGCGCGCCGUGCUGCCCCUGUCCGCACCCGGUGUUAGUAGCCCUGCGCCUUCUCGGCCUCCAGGGCCUCUCGCGCGCAGGGAGGCCCGGGGAGGGCGAGGCGGGCCCCGGUGAUGGGCAGGCGCUCGCCCGGAGCCCCGGAUGGGCGCCCCUCCCGGCUAAGCGGGGGCGCGGGGGUCCCGGGAAGGCUGGGCGCGCCGUGCUGCCCCUGUCCGCACCCGGUGUUAGUAGCCCUGCGCCUUCUCGGCCUCCAGGGCCUCCAGCGCGCGGGGAGGCCCGGGGAGAGCGAGGCGGGCCCCAGUGAUGGGCAGGCGCUGUCCGGAGGCCCGGAUGGGCGCCCCUCCCGGCUAAGCGGGGGCGCGGGGGUCGCGCGGCCCGGGGCGGGGGUCCCCGGAAGGCUGGGCGCGCCGUGCUGCCCCUGUCCGCACCCAGAGCCGCGGCGCCCGGCGAGCGCGGCCGCACACCGCGGUUCGGCGGAAAGAUGUCGGGAGGCUUUUUUGAACGAUUAGUUCAGCCUUGGGGUUGCUUGGUCGUCUCGUUGGCGGCGGAGGGUGACGGCUCCCUCUUGGCGGGCACCCGCAGCCCAGCUCACCGGUGUCCAGCUGUGCGGACGUCCUUAAUCGAACCCAGGAUUGGGAGAGCUGGCCUCCCCGUGCGCUGAUUUCGGUGGCUUCCGUUUUGGGGUUCCCGGGCUUGCCCCUUAAUGGCCGGAAAA
rnacentral:lncRNA from 1 species